AUACGUAGGGGGCGAGCGUUGUCCGGAAUGACUGGGCGUAAAGGGCGUGUAGGCGGCGGUGUAAGUCUGGAGUGAAAGUCCCGCAUUCGAUGUGGGAAUUGCUUUGGAUACUGCAGUGCUAGAGUGCGGAAGAGGUAAGUGGAAUUCCCAGUGUAGCGGUGAAAUGCGUAGAGAUUGGGAGGAACACCAGUGGCGAAGGCGACUUACUGGGCCGUAACUGACGCUGAGGCGCGAAAGCGUGGGGAGCGAACAGGAUUAGAUACCCUGGUAGUCCACGCGGUAAACGAUGAAUGCUAGGUGUAAGAGGUAUCGACCCCUUUUGUGCCGGAGUUAACACAAUAAGCAUUCCGCCUGGGAAGUACGGCCGCAAGGUUGAAACUCAAAUGAAUUGACGGGG
rnacentral:rRNA from 1 species